rnacentral:misc_RNA from 1 species
GAUCAUCGAUCUUGACGCACAUGCGCUCUUGGUAUCGAGAGAGCAUGCUGUUCGAGCGUCAUUACAUCACUCAGCUAUGCUUGGUAUUGGCGUCGACUUAGUUGUGCGCGCCGUAUGGACCUCGGCGAGGCGCUCCGGCAUUAGCGCGUAGUAGAAGUUAUUCGAACGUCUGUCAGAGGAGACGAACUCUGCCCACUGAAACUCUUAUUUUUCUAGGUUGACCUCGGAUCAUGUAGGGAUACCCGCUGAACUUAAGCAUAUCAAUAAGCGGAGGA